GACGAACGCUGGCGGCGUGCUUAACACAUGCAAGUCGAACGGAAAGGCCCUGCUUUUGUGGGGUGCUCGAGUGGCGAACGGGUGAGUAACACGUGAGUAACCUGCCCUUGACUUUGGGAUAACUUCAGGAAACUGGGGCUAAUACCGGAUAGGAGCUCCUGCUGCAUGGUGGGGGUUGGAAAGUUUCGGCGGUUGGGGAUGGACUCGCGGCUUAUCAGCUUGUUGGUGGGGUAGUGGCUUACCAAGGCUUUGACGGGUAGCCGGCCUGAGAGGGUGACCGGCCACAUUGGGACUGGGAUACGGCCCAGACUCCUACGGGAGGCAGCAGUGGGGAAUAUUGCACAAUGGGCGGAAGCCUGAUGCAGCAACGCCGCGUGCGGGAUGACGGCCUUCGGGUUGUAAACCGCUUUCGCCUGUGACGAAGCGUGAGUGACGGUAAUGGGUAAAGGAGCACCGGCUAACUACGUG
rnacentral:rRNA from 1 species